rnacentral:rRNA from 1 species
UACGUAGGGUGCAAGCGUUAAUCGGAAUUACUGGGCGUAAAGCGUGCGCAGGCGGCUUUGCAAGACAGAUGUGAAAUCCCCGGGCUUAACCUGGGAACUGCAUUUGUGACUGCAUGGCUGGAGUGCGGCAGAGGGGGAUGGAAUUCCGCGUGUAGCAGUGAAAUGCGUAGAUAUGCGGAGGAACACCGAUGGCGAAGGCAAUCCCCGUGGGCCUGCACCUGGACCGCUCAUGCACGAAAGCGUGGGGAGCAAACAGGAAUUGAGAUACC